rnacentral:piRNA from 1 species
UUCUAGUGAUGUCAUGCUACUGACUGAGG